UACAGAGGUCUCAACCGUUGUUCGGAUUCAUUGGGCGUAAAGGGUGCGUAGGCGGUCGCGCAAGUCGGAUGUGAAAUCUUAGGGCUCACCUGAAACUGCAUUCGAUACUGCGUGGCUCGAGUACUGGAGAGGAGACUGGAAUUUACGGUGUAGCAGUGAAAUGCGUAGAUAUCGUAAGGAAGACCAGUGGACGAAGGCGAGUCUCUGGACAGUUACUG
rnacentral:rRNA from 1 species